rnacentral:tmRNA from 1 species
CCGCUUGCAACCGGCGCGUCCCGCACUUACCUUCAGGAUGUCCUUCGGGACUAUGGACAUAAACGCGCUCGUAAUAAGCGGAUCGGACCCGGGGGCGGUACCCGGCGGCUCCACCAACAUCCUUCGUUUGGGGAACAUGGGGCCGAAACAGGAUCGACGAACGUCUAAAGGGGUUAGCUUUGUCUCGGCGGUCUGCCACCGUUACCGGCGAAAACAGUACAAUUGCAAACGACAAUCGUGCUCCGGUUGCUCUGGCUGCGUAAGCAGUUAGAAAAACCGAAAUCUUAAGCCCUGGGCCCUAGCCGGUCCAGGCGGGGUUCGCAGGCACCUGGCAACAGAAGCCUGCACC